rnacentral:rRNA from 1 species
AUACAGAGGGUGCGAGCGUUAAUCGGAUUUACUGGGCGUAAAGCGUGCGUAGGCGGCUUUUUAAGUUGGAUGUGAAAUCCCCGAGCUUAACUUGGGAAUUGCAUACGAUACUGGGGAGCUAGAGUAUGGGAGAGGAUGGUAGAAUUCCAGGUGUAGCGGGGAAAUGCGUAGAGAUCUGGAGGAAUACCGAUGGCGAAGGCAGCCAUCUGGCCUAAUACUGACGCUGAGGUACGAAAGCAUGGGGAGCAAACAGGAUUAGAUACCCUGGUAGUCCAUGCCGUAAACGAUGUCUACUAGCCGUUGGGAGGUUUGACCUUUUAGUGGCGCAGCUAACGCGAUAAGUAGACCGCCUGGGGAGUACGGUCGCAAGACUAAAACUCAAAUGAAUUGACGGGG